rnacentral:lncRNA from 1 species
GUAAAAUCUCAAACCCUGACAGUGUGCUUAGGAAGCUCACAAAUCAGUGGGAGGUGGAGAACCUACAUGAACAUAGCCAAAUCAAAAGGUCAGUUGUAUUUGGUACAGAACUAAAUCUAGAUACAAGGGACAAAGCAUAUUAUAAAGCUGGCAGUUUAUUUCAUUGGAGGAUAAGAGAUUAUUCAGUAAAUGGGGUUGGCAGAACCAGAAAAUAUACCUGUAGACACAUAAAAAUUAGAUGCCUGUGUCCUUUCACUAAAAUGUCAGGUGAAGCAAAAAAUUAAAUAUUAAAACAUGAAACCAUAAAACCAAGUAGAAAAGUAAAGAAAUAUUGAUAAACUUGACUUUCUAAAAUAGGAUUCUGUAGGGGGAAUACAGUAAAAACAAAACAAAAACAGUAAAAGCAAAGUUAAAGUAGAAGCUGGAAGGAAAUUGCAGCCAGUAUCAUAGAUGAAGUGCUAAUGAUGCUUAUUUAAUACUUUAAAAGAGCGCUGUAAAAAAUAAGAAACUAAAAACAUUCUAAAAAUUGGUGAAUGACCUGAAUACAAAUUUCACAAUAAUGAAAAUUAAUGCAAGAAAGGCUUAAAUGUGUGAAAGUUUGCUUAACCUUUCUUGUAAUAAGAUGAAUGCAAAUUAAAACCACAAUGUGGUAGAAUAGUUCACCUAUCAGAUUGGCACAGAUCAAGAAGUUUGAUAACACGGUGUGUUUGCCAGAAUGUUGGGAAACAGGUUCCCACCCAAGGCUGCUGGUGGUACAGACUGAACAGCAUCUAUACAAUUUGGCUGUAUCUGUCAAAACGACAAAUGUCUCAUGUUCCUUGACCCACAAUCUAAUUUCCAGGAAUUACUCAUGUGGAUGGGAAAUGACUUCUUUAUAAGGGUGUUCAUUGCAUUAUUGUUAGGAAUAGAAACUUAUACACAUGAUUACAGUAUUGUCUUGUAAUGGCAAAGGUUUGAACCCUAUGCAACUGUAACACAAACGAGGCAGCUCUGUUUAUACUGACCCAGAAUAAUAUUUGACUGUAUAAUGUGAGGUGGGAAAACAAGCUUCAGAACAGUGUGUAUAGUAUAGUACAACCAUUUUUUUUAUUUUUAAAACGUGUGGGUAUGUGCACAGAUACCUACUGCAAGUGACCUCACAAAUAUGGCAAUGCGAGGAGCCAACCUGGCUUCCUGGGGAAGGGACGGGUUGGGGAGAGGACUCACGUUUCAUCGUGUUACUUUUCGGACUUUCCGAAUUUUGUAGCACAAGUAUGUAUCAAAUAUUUAACAGUGUAAAAAUAAUUGACUUUAAUUUCUAAAGGCUCAGUAGCACUUGGUGAUGAUUUGGGGGUAGGGGAGGAAGAGAGGACCUUCAGUGUCCUGCACUGUCGCUGGGUGAUGACAAGGUCUUCUCCUGAGAUGGGGGAGGGAGAGUUAAGAGAUUUAUUUUGGACACACGAGGUUGGACAUAAUAGAAAUCUGAGAGAAGAUGUUGGAUAGGCUGUUGGAGAGGCUUGGAAUGGAGAUAUUAAUUUGGGAUUCAUGGGCAUCUAGCUGCAUUUAAGUCCCUAGGAUUUGCCGAAAGUGACUGUGAGAGAUGAGAUUGGAGCACCUGGGAUUGGACCCAACUACUCUUAACAUUUAGAAGUCAGGGACAGAAAGGUAAUCUAGCAGAGAAAACGCAAUGAAAGGGCACAGACUAGCUUGCUGAAGAACCACGGGAGUGGACAGCAGAGAGCAUUGCAGCAGGGACUGGCCAGCCAGGGGUAACGAGGAUGAGUGGUCCAGGCAGGGGACCUGGUGACAUGGGAGCCAUGUUGAUCUAGUGCGUGGUUUCCUGGUGUGAGGAAGAGGGGAAUGCAGCCUGGAGAAGGCAUGACAGAUGGGGCAGGAUCCAUGAGAAUGAACUUUCAAUAAAUGAAGUCUUUGCAUUAUGAAUUCAAAGUGCUAUUUAGCAGAAACAUUGGAGAACGAGAAGAAUCCGAAGGAAAAUCCAGGGGCAAAAUAAGCAUUAUCCUCCGGGAGCAGAAGAGUCAGUGUCCCCAGGAUGCAGCCAGCUUUCAGGAAAGGCUGAGACUCAGAAAGCAUGGGAGUAGUGUUGCAAUGGAAAGGACACUUGAGAGAAGACACUGGAAGUGUUUGGGAGGUAAAGGAGUGAAAAAGGGCUGGGUGAAAGGAAAACAUCAGUUAGGAUAACCCCAUGGGAGAAAGUGGAUAGCUCUAAGGGCUUCUACUGUGGGCAGAAAUAUGACGCAUGGUAGGUUGAGUUGUUUGUUUCGUUUUGUUUUGAGACUGAGUCUUACUCUGUCACCCAGGCUGGAGUGCAGUGGCACAAUCUCGGCUCACUGCAACCUCUGCCUCCCAGGUUCAAGCAAUUCUCCUGCCUCAGCCCCUGAGUAGCUAGGACUAUAGGCGUGCACCACCACACCCAGCUAAUCUUUAUUGUAUUUUUUGUAGAGAUGGGGUUUCACCAUGUUGGCUGAGUUGGUCUCAAACUCCUGACCUCAAGCAAUCCACCUGCCUCAGCCUCCCAAAGUCCUGGGAUUGCAGGUGUAAGCCAUCGUGCCCGGCCGGUAGGUUGAGUUUUAAUGGUGUCUGUGAAGAUGCAAGUUCAGCUGUAGCCUGGAAGUGUGACCUGGCAUCUGAGAGGAGCACUGCAGCACCCCUUUUCUGUGCUGCUUGCAUUGGCAUCCAUGGUGAGUGCAGCAAUAGCUGUCAUCAGUGAGCAAAGAGGCUCCAGCCAGGGGCCCUGUGGUGCCUACAGGGAGAGGCAGAGAUCUGGGUGUCCCCAGGUUUUUCUGCUUGAGUCAAAGCCCCUGGGAGCCCAGGUAUGAAAACCUAGGGGCUUCCAUCAUGUCCGGAUGGUGGGUCUCCAUCAUUCCUCUUAAUCUCAUGGUUUUCUUGCAAAGCUGAAGAAGCCCCAUUAUGGGCUUUUCCUCAAAUUGAAUGUCAUCUUGCAACAUCUCUUCAGCUUUGCAUUUUUGGAACAUGGAUCAGAAUCUUUCCUUUCCUUGACUCCCUUUCUAGCAGCUUGUUAGAAUGCAUUCAUGUAGCAACUGGGAAUGAAUGCGACACAUUUACAUUUAACACCUCCCUUCCAUUGACUUCAGCUCAGACCUUUCCAGAGAUUUCUCCAUUAGAGGACUGUUAGAUGCCACUAGACGUGUGAGACCAAAUGAUGUUGGCAUCAUCUUGGAAUAGAGACGGAGACUGGGGUCUGGCCUUUCUUCUGGUCCUCAGUCCUGCAGGCUGUCCUUUCUCCACUGCACCUCCUCAAGGAGCAUUCCUGGUAGCCUCUGGAACCUGCCCUGGGUGUGUUUUGGUUCACUCUCUAUGCUUGAUAGGCUUUCUCAAAGAACCUGCUGCAUCGUAAGUGCUCAACACACUCUUUUCAGGAUUGUUCUUUUAUGUUUUUAGAUUACAAUUUUAUGUAAUUUUUUUCUGAUUAAAUACUUUUUGUGUGGCUACGGAAAAGUUCACAUAAAUUAACACAUUAAAGACCUUUGAAAGCUCCUGACUGGCACAGUAGACACAGCCAGUACAUAUUGGCUAUGAUCGUUUGUGUUCUGUAUCAGAUUGGUUUACAGGCCACAAAGAUGGGGGCCCUACGGAUCCUCUCUGUUCAAGCAGUGAAGAGCUGGUAUCUGAGGAUAAAAGAAGCUUGUGUUGUAAUGAUGUGGAAAUUCCAGAGGUUGUGAUGGAAUGAAUGACCUAGAAUAGAGAAGAGCAAAGCAUGUUGGGAGCAGGGAGGUGGAAAAGGGAGUAUAGGAAGAGGGGAAGAGGGGUCCCAGUUGGCCUCCAGGUUUCUGGAAGUACCAAUCCUAGAGUCUUCUUGGUGAAGGGAGUUGGCCAAGGCAAGGAAACCUGAGCCCUUUGUGAAGGAGUCAGAGGAGGUUUAUGACUAAAAAAUGACAAAUUAUGCCAUAUUACGUAUUCUGAACAAAUAUGUGUAAAUACAUGAUUUAGAUAAAUUAGGUAUUUAUUAAAUAUUUCAAGAUUUGGUUCCAGAAGAGUACAAUUUGUCUCUUCACCAUUGUUAGAGGGAAAAAAACAGGUAAAGCCAAUCAAAGAAAGAUGAAAGUUUUUAGAGGAAAAAAAAAUCUAGUUUUGCAGCAAAGAGGAUUAAUCUGUAAAGUCUCAUCUUAUAGAUGUGCUACUGUAGUAAUCUAGAAUUUGUUUCUUCUUAUUCUUCAUUUCCCAACAGUAUUAAGAUGAAGUGUGUAAUCUUUAGAACUAGAGAGAAGUCUGUUUGCAUCUGUGGGGUUAAUGCAGAGAGGGAGGUGAGAGGUGAUUCUUGCCAUACUUGGUCACUUGAAUAAAACUACCUAUUCCCAUGGCUUUCUCUUUAGGGAGUAGAAAACCCUCAUUUCAAUGAAAUCAGUGUUUUUCAUAAUUGGAAGCCUACCUUCCAAGAGCUAAUGGCAUAUAAUGGAAAUGAAUUAUCCCUUGCUACCUAAACACUUGCUUCCUAAACUCAUAUUUAACUGUGUAAGGAUAUUUAUAUUAAUUUAGGAAGUUUAUAUCUAAGCAGGGAUUUCCCUUUAACGAAUGAAACAAUAUGCAUACUGGCAAGGUAGAAAAUGUUUUCAAUUUGCAUUUUGUUGUUUGGAGGCCUAUUUAAUUCAUUGCAAUCUUAUUUAUUCAGUGAUGUAUAUUAAACAUAAAUGUAUUAAAAAUCUACCACUAGAAAGUACUAAUUGUCAUUGAAUGGCACAUUUUAAAAUGAAUAAUUUCAUGUUAUGUAAAUGCUGCCUAAAAACUAUAAUAGAACUGCCAUGAUUAAGACAUUAUGUCUACACAGAGAAGGUUAAAGUAACAAUACCAUAACUACUGUCCUUUUAUAAAUAAACAAAUAAAAACAUAAUAUUUAUUCCAAAGGACAUUCUUGUGUCGAAAGAUGAAACAGAAAGAAAGUGGAAGAUAGUAACAGAGAAAGUGGAAAAAAGGACGAGAAGGGAUAGACAUGCAAAACUCCAGCAUUCCAAAGUUAAGGGAAAGAGAAUAACCAUGUUGUGCCUAUAACCCUAGAAGAUUACAAAAAUUAUUUCUAGCAAAUUGACAACCCUUCUUUCUGAAGGUAGCUUUGGGCAAAAAGGUGCUGUUUUGAGCUUUUACCCUGAAUCACCUGGGGUGCACUUGAAAAGAAGCCAUUUUGCCAAUGCAUUAAAAGUGUCUGAGUGAAAGCUGCCACUUGAUUGUCCUAAGAGGCUUUUAACCCCAGCCACAUAAUUAUUUCAUAACAAACAAUCAGGAACAUUUCUCUUCCUCAUCAGUUUCCCAGACUACCUCAUAGCACAUGCAUGAUACAAUGUGUGAUUUUGCAGCCUUCCAUGUAACAUCGGAGUCCUAAAGAGAUGGACUUGAAGAGGCUCAUGGUGAUUUUAAUUGCAUUUUGAAAUGCCACACAUAUUCUAAGAGAUGUCAUUCUAAGAGAUGUCAUCAAUCUCUUAAAACAUGAUUUUUAAUGGCUGCAUACCAUUCUUCUACCCCAUUGUACCAUGAUUCAUUUAACCACCUCUUAAUACUUGCUUCGUUUUGGUGUUUCUAAUUUCUUGCAAAUAAAAAUUUAACUGCCCUUGCUAAUGAUUAUUUGGUAGGUGAUUCUUACCUUGAUAAGUAGGUCACCAUCUAUCCAGUUGUGCAGCUGGAAACCUGGAAAUCAUUCUUGCAAUAGUUUUCACCCCGAAUCCCAAUCCAUUGCCAAAUUCUGUCAAUUUUCUAUUCUUAGUAUCUCUCAAGCUUAUUCACUUCUUUCCACCCCUCAUAAAUAUUUUUGCCGUAAUAUUUCUGAAUUCCUUAUUGGUUCAGCAAUAUACUAGGUAUUUAUUAUCUUUUAUUUUUCACACCUAUCCAUUGUUACUCUUCUUCCAAUUUUUCUCUCAAAUUUUUGAUGAAAUUCAGUUUAUUUACCUUAAGAACUUUUAUUUUUUACUUAUUGGAUUUUUAUAUUGUGCAACAUAGUACACACAUACAAAAAGAUAUUUAACAUAUAUGUAAGUUAUAAAUAAUAAUACUUUAAAAUUGGCAUAGUCAAGCCUAAAAAGUAGGACAUUACCAAUAUUUAUUUUGAAGUCCACUGACUAGCCUUAUCACAAUCUGAAAUUUUGUGAUUAUUGUCCUUUGGCUGUCUUCAUGAUUUUACUGGAUAUGUAUGUAAACAUUUUGCAUUGUACUUAAAUUUAAGCAUUAUACAAAUAUUAUCAUCCUAUUAAUAUUCUUCUGCAACUUGCUCAACAGUAUGGUUUUAUUAUUGAGAUGUAACUUAGAUACCAUAAAAAUGUACAACUUAAUAUUUUUUAGUAUAAUCACAAGGCUGUGAAAUUGUCAUCACACUCUAAGUCUGGAAUAUCUUCAUCACCCCAAAAAGAAACCCCAAGAAACUUUGUGCCCACAGCAGUCACUUUUGAGUUCCCCUCCCUUCACCCCUGGCGGCCAUAAGUCUUCUCUCUGUCCCUGUUCAUCGUUAUGUUUUUGAGAGAAAUGUAUUACGAUUUCUGAAGUCGUAGUUCAUCUUUUUCAGUUGUAAUAAAUAUAUAACUGUUUUUCACUUCUGCCAAUAGAAAUUUAGGUUAUUUGUAGUUGUUUUUAAAAUUUCUAUUUGAACAUGACUUGUUUUUUUAAAAAGUAUGUUUCACAAUUACACACCUUUUAACAAUUAAAGUGCCUUUUAACAAUUAUUUAUGCAUACAUAUAUAUUCUUAGGCACACUGUUUUAGACAGAAGAAUAGAAUUGCCAGUGUUAAUUCUGUCCACCUUUAAUUUUAAUGUGUAAUAAAAAUCAUUUUCGAAAGUAAGUGUACAAAUUGAAAAUUCCACCAAUAAGGUGUCAUUGUCUUUUACAAUUUUUCCCAUUGGAUUGUAGUCAUUGUUUAUAGAGGCCAUGUGUUAAUCUUUUAUAAAAAUCGAUUUGUCAAAUUUAUUAUUUGCUUUUUAUUUUCUUUAUGUUUUCUUUUGAAUGAACAUCAAUUUUAAAUUUUAACUGAGUAAAAUUUAUCAAGUUUACCUUUUGAGUUUUGUGCCUUUUUCAUUUUGUUUUAAUUUUUUUCUCUAUCGCCAAAUUUUCAAGUACUUACUCCUGUAUUUCCUUUCUCUCUCUCUCUUUUUUUAGCUUUAAUUCACCUGCAUUAUAUGUUUGUGCAUGGUGUCUGAUAGUGGCUCAAUUUCAGUUUUUUUUUAAAUUGUUUCCGAGGCGUGUUUCAAAUAUUUGACUUUUUCCCACUGGUCUGAAUAGUGCUUCUCAGAUACGGCAAGUCUCUAGGUUUGCAUGAGUCAGCCUCUGUGCCCUCUGUUCUUUUCCCCGAUGUUCUUUUUGCUUCUUCUUAUGCUAUUACCACACUGUCUUAAUUACUAUAUUUUAUUAACAAAUCUCACUUUCUGGUAGACCAUUUCCUUCACCUACUUCUUCACUUUCCUUCAGGAAUGUCUUGGAUAUUUGUAACUCUUUUCCUUAUGAUUUAGCAUCAGCUUGACAAGUUUAAUAAACCUUGUUAGGACUGAGAUAAAAUUAGAAAGAUUGGACAUCUUUAAGGUACUGAGUUCUCCUAGCCAGGAAUGUGGCACGUUUCCCUAUUUCUUUAGGGAAUUGUAAAAUGUCUUUUUAUAACGUUUUAUAAUUUUCCCCAUAGAGAUCUUUAAAAUAUUUUGUUAGAUUUAUUCCUAGCACC